rnacentral:rRNA from 1 species
CCUACGGGAGGCAGCAGUGAGGAAUAUUGGUCAAUGGACGCAAGUCUGAACCAGCCAUGCCGCGUGCAGGAAGACGGCUCUAUGAGUUGUAAACUGCUUUUGUACGAGGGUAAACGCAGAUACGCGUAUCUGUCUGAAAGUAUCGUACGAAUAAGGAUCGGCUAACUCCGUGCCAGCAGCCGCGGUAAUACGGAGGAUUCAAGCGUUAUCCGGAUUUAUUGGGUUUAAAGGGUGCGUAGGCGGUUUGAUAAGUUAGAGGUGAAAUCCCGAGGCUCAACUUCGGAAUUGCCUCUGAUACUGUGCGGCUAGAGUGUAGUUGCGGUAGGCGGAAUGUAUGGUGUAGCGGUGAAAUGCAUAGAGAUCAUACAGAACACCGAUUGCGAAGGCAGCUUACCAAGCUACGACUGACGUUGAGGCACGAAAGCGUGGGGAGCAAACAGGAUUAGAUACCCGAGUAGUC